rnacentral:rRNA from 1 species
AGUGAACGCUGGCGGUAGGCCUAACACAUGCAAGUCGAACGGCAGCACAGUAAGAGCUUGCUCUUACGGGUGGCGAGUGGCGGACGGGUGAGGAAUACAUCGGAAUCUACUUUUUCGUGGGGGAUAAUGUAGGGAAACUUACGCUAAUACCGCAUACGACCUACGGGUGAAAGCAGGGGAUCUUCGGACCUUGCGCGAUUGAAUGAGCCGAUGUCGGAUUAGCUAGUUGGCGGGGUAAAGGCCCACCAAGGCGACGAUCCGUAGCUGGUCUGAGAGGGUGAUCAGCCACACUGGAACUGAGACACGGUCCAGACUCCUACGGGAGGCGGCAGUGGGGAAUAUUGGACAAUGGGCGCAAGCCUGAUCCAGCCAUACCGCGUGGGUGAAGAAGGCCUUCGGGUUGUAAAGCCCUUUUGUUGGGAAAGAAAAGCAGCAGGUUAAUACCCCGCUGUUCUGACGGUACCCAAAGAAUAAGCACCGGCUAACUUCGUG